rnacentral:misc_RNA from 1 species
GGAUGAAGAACGCAGCGAAAUGCGAUAAGUAAUGCGAAUUGCAGAAUUUCCGUGAGUCAUCGAAUCUUUGAACGCACAUUGCGCCCAUUGGUAUUCCGAUGGGCAUGCCUGUUCGAGCGUCAUUAUCCUCUCUCAACCCUCGGGGUUUGGUGUUGGACCCGAGUUGUGCGGUGCACAACUGGUCUCAAAGACAAUGACGGCGUCCGUGGGACCCUCGGUGCAACGAGCUUUUAGGAGCACGCGUCGAGUUUUUAAAGGACCUUCCGGGCCGGUCUUCCACUCUUUCUCAGGUUGACCUCGGAUCAGGUAGGAAUACCCGCUGAACUUAAGCAUAUCAAUAAGCGGAGGA